rnacentral:misc_RNA from 1 species
CUCAUAUGGCUCGAACUGGCUCGUGUGUGGUUCCACUGAACCGCCGCCACCGCACUCCACACACAUACACGCGACGGCUGGCUGACUGACUGACACUCCGUACAAAAUGGCUGCACUGUCAUGAGGAUUUUCAGAUGUCAUCGGGCUUUAGCUAUUGAAUAAAAUAUACGCGACGGAUUUAAAAUUUCCGAAAGGACCAAACAAUUAAGCGUUAGCAUAAAAACUGUGAGAUAAACUAAGAAAAGUUGUGAUUUUUUAGCUUAAAUCGUAAGAAAUUUGUGCGAAAGGUCGAGCGCAGAAAACGGAGACGUGAGAAAAAAUUUUCUAUGCGAGUUCGCCAAGUUCCCGACGUCGGGAAAUAGAAGAGAAGCUGCUAUUUUCUACAAUAAGAAAGCCUUGCUGAACGUGAUGCGCACUGGGAUUACCAGAGAACGAAUUUGUUGCUGAAACUCUUGACUGCAUGCAAACGGAACAAAAAUUUAAAAAUAGUGCGAUUAUUGUAAAAGAAUAUAACUUAAAGAGCCUUAUAAAAGUGUAAACGCCUUUUUGAAAGUUUUUUUUACUACCAAUAACACGUUCGAUGUUGAAUUAAAAAAAGAAAAUUGUAAGAAGGGGAGAGAUUGGAAGAUUCUCUGCCGCAUAUCAAAACGGAGAACAGCUAAAAGGACCUAGCGGAGAAAGAAGCAGGCAUUGCUGAAGGAUUUUAUAUAGAAAGUGCUUUUAUUAUUCGAAUAAGUUUAGAGAAAGGAAGCGGAAUAAGGCAAAAAAAGAUAUUGAAGAAACUGUAAAUAUCUAUUUCUAUCGAAUAACGUUUGAUUAUAAUCAAAACAAAAUAGAACAAAAAGGCAUAGUCUAAUAAUUCUAUGUUUUGCGGUAACGGUAGUAGUGCUGGAAUGGCUACACUGUUACAGCAAAAAACUAGUAACUGUAUGAAAACAUUAUCAAAUGGCGGCGUAGUUGGUAGUGGAGCGACCGGUGGCAGUAGCAAUAAUCUAAACAGUACAUCAUCUGCUGCCACAACCAUACAACAAACAAGACUUAUUCUGCCACACGAAAUGGUCAAUUUACCUGUAACAGGUAAUCUAGUAGCCCCAUCGACUGGUCUAUGUUCAGUUUCGUCAACGAAUUACGUCAAUGUAACCUCAUCGUCAGGUGGAGCCUUCGUUGUCGCACAGCAACAUAGUCAGCAAAUAAUUCAGCAACAAUCAUUACAACACGAGUCUAACAACAGUCACGUUCAAUUCAGUAAUCAAGUCAAUCCUCUAUCGCAAUUCAACAGAUUCUUUACACAGAACAAUUUCCAAGAUGGAAGCAUCGGAUACAUGCCGGUGACUACAGCGUCAGUCAUUAAUAGUAUCAAAAAUGCACCUAGCACAAGCUCUCAUAUUCUCAUUACAAAUUCCGCCAGUAAUAUGGUAACGGCUGCAUCAACGUUAGUCGCAGGAACAGCCCCCCUCACUGUUGCAACGCUAGCACAUCAUAAUCAAAAUCACUCCUCGCAGUACGAACAAACAACCCCUAACACACAAAAUCGAGAUAUCACAGUUACAUCAUCGUUAGCCUCCAAGUCGCAGCUGACGACAGUGUCACAAUAUGAAAACUCCGCAUCUGAUCAGUCACAUUGCCUAGAUAGUAGCGCUAGAAACGUAAACUCCGCCGAAAAUCAUGAAAUUGUUGAUAAUGGCGACGACUACACAAAUUCUGCUGCAUCAGAUUGCAAUCGUGAUAUUAAGAAGGAUCAUUCAAACCUUGCCAACGGUGAUAUUCAAGCUGAGAAUGCUGAAGCAGCAGCGGAUCAAGAUGCGGAUCCUGAAAUUGAUAUAGUUAUAAAUAAUGUAGUAUGUUCGUUUAGUGUUAGAUGUCAUUUAAAUCUACGAGAGAUUGCAUUAAACGGUUUCAAUGUUGAAUUUCGACGUGAGAACGGAAUGGUCACAAUGAAAUUACGUCGGCCAUAUACGACGGCUUCUAUAUGGUCGUCUGGAAGAAUUACAUGUACUGGUGCUACAUCUGAAGAUCAAGCGAAAAUUGCAGCACGUCGGUACGCUCGUUGCCUUCAAAAACUAGGAUUUAAUGUAAGAUUUCAUAAUUUUCGGGUAGUAAACGUUCUUGGAACAUGUAGUAUGCCAUGGGCAAUAAAAAUAGUGAAUUUUUCGGAGAGAUACAAAAAGGAAGCCAGUUAUGAGCCUGAAUUGCACCCGGGCGUUACAUACAAACUGAAAUAUCCCAAAGCAACUUUGAAGAUCUUCUCGACUGGAAGUAUAACAGUUACCGCUGGCAGUGUGGCGCAUGUUCAGGCGGCGAUAGAGCAUAUUUUCCCACUAGUCUACGAGUUUCGAAAGAAGCGUACAUUGGAGGAUAUGGAAUUGUUACGUUCAAAGCAGAACUUACGCGAGGAAGAAGCGGAAGUGGAAGAAGAAGUACAUUCCCCUAGUCCAAAGAGGAAAAGACCUUUUGGAUACGCCGAAAACGAUCCAAAUGAAGAUAUUAUGUAUGUUUCUGAUGUGGAAGACUGCGAAAUAGAAGGGGGCUUAUAAGAUAAUGAGGAGUUAUACAAUUAUAUCGUAUGCAAAAGCAAGAAUAACACAAAACCUAAACAAAUUUUAUUGUAUUGAAAUUGAAACCAAAAUAUUCAGUUCUUAUGAGCUAUAGGCGUAUCUUUGCAACAACUGUACUCGACCAACACCUAGGAACGGAGAGAAUUAUACCCGAUUUUCUCCCAACAACAUACAAUGCAAGUAUACAUUUUAAAUUAUUUAUGAGCUAAGUGUGCGAGAAUCCAAACGAAACAUGAUAUUUUCUUUAGUAAGGAUGUUAACAAAUAUUUAUGAUCAAACUAAUUUUUAUUGUAAUUAUCACAUCAUUUAUUUUUGCUUUCUGUGAAAUAUCGUAUCGAUACUGUUCUACCGUUUAUAUAUAAUAUUUUUUAAUUUUAAAAUUACUUUAGUCGAACACUAUUUAAAGAAAGUUAUUAAAUUAUGCGAUGAACUAGAAAUAGUGGUUGAAUGUUCGAGAAGAGUCGCUUCCAUGAAGUAUGACCACGAACACUACCUGUGCUGAUGAUAAUAGCAAUAGUGGACACAAUAAUUGAAAUUUGCAAUUCGAAUACGUCUUCUUUUUUGUUAACAAUAUAUUCAUAGAGGAACAAAACAUGUAGCUUUUAAUUGUUGAUUAAAAUUGUUUAUUGUAACGGGUGCGUUUUGAAUCCAAAGAAUUUAUGUAAAGUAUCGAAAUCUUAUAUAAAACUGAGGAAAGAAUAUUAAGAGAACUUAUUAUACAUUAAGUAAAUUAUAUACGAAAGGUAAUAAUAGCAUUAUAAAAGUCUGCUGUCAUAUUCUAAACUUCUACGGAUAAUGUUUCUGUUACGACUGAUCAUGUAUGUGCAUUGCUGAUAUACAUAAACGAAUUAUUACUGACAACAAAACAUUACUAUCCAAGAAGCUUUUAUUAUAUAAGAAUCAUUAAAAAUAUUGUCAUAUUGUUCCUAUGCGUUGCUUUGAAAACAAGCAAGUCGUUGUUCUGUUUGAAAAACAAUGAAAUGAGAAGGAAAAGCUGACGAACAAACAACGAAAACGAAAAAAAGAAUUCAGUUAAUAAAUGCAAUGUGUUCAAAUUUGAUAAUAAGUAAAAUGCAAUUAAAAUUGUUAUCAGUACCUCA